UCCCUGGUAGCUGAGAUGGUAAAGUGCCUGCCUACAAUGCAGGAGACCUGGGUUCAACCCCUGAGUCGGGAA
rfam:Ovis aries breed Texel chromosome 3, whole genome shotgun sequence.